AUUUUGAUUAGAUGAUCCAAAAUACUCCCUCUUAUCUCCAUUCUAGUAUAUAUAUCAGUCUAACCCUAAAUUUUAGGUAGAUGUCCCAUCCAUCCCUUUCCUUCCGCCGCCACCCGACCUAUUCCUUGUCUCUCUCGGGAUUCCCUCACCCGAUCUUCCUCGAUCCCCUCGCCCAGCCAACCAUCGAAGCCUACGGCCUCCUCCUCCCACCUUGGAAUCCUAUCCCACCAACCAGACCUCCACGUGAAGCCUAGCGCCGCCUCCCGAUCGAGCUGCUCGAUCUGCUGCUCCCGAACGCGCCCGCCUCCUCCUGCUGGCCUACCUCGUCACCGGAGCAGCUCGUCCCUGAGCUUGACCUCGCCCCUGCUUCGAUCGGCGACCACCCCGGCAAGCCCUGCCGCCUCCCGUCACUCCAGCCCCGCAUGGCCCCCUGGAAGCCGUCGCCGACCGCUGCCGCCGGCGCCCGCAGGAGCUCGCCGCCGAAGGAGCACGCCAAGCGCCAUGGCCGCCCAGGGUCUUCUCUUGCCUCGACCCGUCAAGUUGCCACCGGGAACGACCUCCACCGCCCAGGGCCUUCCCUAGCCUCGUCGCCGUCGACCUGCGAAGGGACCCGCCAUGGCCAUCCUCGUCUUCAAGACGCGUUGCCCGCGCACGGUUUCGGCGCUCUCAGCAUGCCCACGCCCCGGAUCUGGACGCCCAUCGCCGGAGGCCGCCGUCCCGCGCCUGGAGAUGUGCCCCUCCAUCCCCCGCGGCUCUGUCUCUUCCUCGCCGCCGAACUCCUGCUUCAAGACGCAGCCGGCGCCCACUCGUUCUGCUCGGGAACGAGCACACCCUGCCUCUGCUUCAAACCAUGGGGCCGAUGCCUCCAGUGCCUGCGUUGACCCCGCGCGUGGGCCGCGCAAAGGCCGAGUCCGCCCGGCCUAGCCACUGCUCCAGAGGCCCAUGGCCAAAGUGAGCAGCCCCUCCAGCGCCCCCUUUCCUUUGCACUUCUGGGCCUGCCGGUUUUGGCCCAUGGUAUUUUUUUUCCUGUCCAACGAUUUUCCAUAUUAUCCUGAGACUUUAGUUUUACAGAAAAAUCCUCCUUGUUCACGCAUUUAAUAUCUCACAAACCGUGUAUCGGAUUAAAAUAAGUUAUAUAUGAAACUUGCUUAGAAUU